CUGUAGUUGUGGUUGGAGCUUCUAUUGUUGUGGUUGGAGCAGCAGUGGUUGCGGUUGGAGCCCGGCUGUGGUUGUGGUUGGAGCUGCUGUUGUUGUG